GGUGUAGCUCAAUUGGUAGAGUAGCGGUCUCCAAAACCGUUGGUUGUGGGUUCGAUUCCUACCACC
rnacentral:tRNA from 1 species